rnacentral:rRNA from 1 species
GGGGAAUCGACUUCCACUCCCACCCCUGUGAUUAUACCUUUAAUUGUUGCUUCGGCGGGACUUCGCGCCCGCCGGGGACCCAAACCUUCUGAAUUUUUUAAUAAGUAUCUUCUGAGUGGUUAAAAAAAUGAAUCAAAACUUUCAACAACGGAUCUCUUGGUUCUGGCAUCGAUGAAGAACGCAGCGAAAUGCGAUAAGUAAUGUGAAUUGCAGAAUUCAGUGAAUCAUCGAAUCUUUGAACGCACAUUGCGCCCGUCAGUAUUCUGGCGGGCAUGCCUGUUCGAGCGUCAUUACGCCCCUCAAGUCCCCUGUGGACUUGGUGUUGGGGAUCGGCGAGGCUGGUUUUCCAGCACAGCCGUCCCUUAAAUUAAUUGGCGGUCUCGCCGUGGCCCUCCUCUGCGCAGUAGUAAAACACUCGCAACAGGAGCCCGGCGCGGUCCACUGCCGUAAAACCCCCCAACUUUUUAUAGUUGACCUCGAAUCAGGUAGGACUACCCGCUGAACUUAAGCAUAUCAAAAGCCGGAGGAA